rnacentral:rRNA from 1 species
UACGUAGGGGGCGAGCGUUGUCCGGAUUUAUUGGGCGUAAAGCGCGUGUAGGCGGUUCGGUAAGUCAGCUGUGAAAGUCCAGGGCUCAACCCUGGAAAGCCGGUUGAUACUGUCGGGCUAGAGUGCGGAAGAGGCGAGUGGAAUUCCUGGUGUAGCGGUGAAAUGCGCAGAUAUCAGGAGGAACACCAAUUGCGAAGGCAGCUCGCUGGGACGUUACUGACGCUGAGACGCGAAAGCGUGGGGAGCAAACAGG